GGACCAGACUCCUACGGGAGGCAGCAGUGAGGAAUAUUGGUCAAUGGGCGGAAGCCUGAACCAGCCAAGUCGCGUGAGGGAAUAAGGCCCUACGGGUCGUAAACCUCUUUUGCCGGGGAGCAAGGGCGGGGACGUGUCCCGGCCCGGAGAGUACCCGGAGAAAAAGCAUCGGCUAACUCCGUGCCAGCAGCCGCGGUAAUACGGAGGAUGCGAGCGUUAUCCGGAUUUAUUGGGUUUAAAGGGUGCGUAGGCCGAAGAUUAAGUCAGUGGUAAAAUUGCGGGGCUCAACCUCGUAUCGCCAUUGAAACUGGUUUUCUUGAGUGGGCGAGAAGUAUGCGGAAUGCGUGGUGUAGCGGUGAAAUGCAUAGAUAUCACGCAGAACUCCGAUUGCGAAGGCAGCAUGCCGGCGCCCAACUGACGCUGAAGCACGAAAUCGUGGGUAUCGAACAGGAUUAGAUACCCUUGUA
rnacentral:rRNA from 1 species